CCUGGAUGUUGUCGUGUACUACAGAUGGACGCCGGUAGCCGUUGCUUGCAUCUUCGCUUUCUUCAUCGCCGACAUGUUUUUGUCAGUAUACGAGAUGACCAUCGACACGUUGUUCCUGUGCUUCUGUGAAGAUUCUGAACUCAACGACGGCGUCACGAAGCCGUACUACAUGAGCAAGAACCUCAUGGCUUUUGUUGAAAAUGCUUCGGAUGCACUAAAGGCAGAGAAACGGCGCAAGACAAAGGUAGUGUUCGUGGAACCAACGACUUCUAAGAAGUAGCUUCUGGUAAUAAUACAUGUUCUCACAGAUAUCCUGAUUCCCACAUUACCUCCACAUAAAAAUCUCUUUUUUCAUUCUCCAAUUUCACAAAUAAUAUUUAACAAACUUGUAAUAUGACGUAGGUUUAAGAUUCGGCAUAAAUUUAGCAUUAUUCUACAUUGGAAAAUUAAUAUUGAAAUGAGUUCAGGCCUAUACACAAAGUUGUUAUUGUUGUGCAGGCCAGUUUUAAUUGUUUCAUCUAGAUGCAGUGUUAGUCUUCUACAGGUUUUGUCAAACAGAUGCAGUUUUUACAAGCAAACGAGAAUAUUAAACUAGUACAUAAAUAUUUGAUACGUGGCAGAUGUGGUCACAUUCUGUGAUGUUUAAUAAAAUUUCAUGUUCAAAUAAAGGUACAAAAAUUGAAAUCUUGUAAGAAAUUAUUACACAAGUGCUUUAAAAUAAAAUGGUUUUCUUAGAUUGAAUUAAAUCUUACUUUAUAGUUUUAUUCAAAAAAAUUAUUUGUGGGUUACAUAUUUUAAUACAAUAUAAAAAUAAUAAUUAGUGAGACAAUGGAAAUUUUAUACAGCAUUAUUAUAUGCAUUAAGGCCUUACAAAAGGAAACCAAGUCUCUCAAUGGUACAUUAACUACUACAUUAGCACAGACAAUAUCGAUGUGUAUAUUGACAGACAUACAAUGGCAGGUAAAAGUAAACACAUAAACGUCUCAUACACAUGACAAU